UGAGUAGGCGGCUAGGCAAGUCAGAUGUGAAAUCCCCGGGCUUAACUCGGGACGUGCAUUUGAAACUGCUUAGCUUGAGUAAAGAAGAGGUAAGUGGAAUUCCUAGUGUAGCGGUGAAAUGCGUAGAUAUUAGGAGGAACACCAGUGGCGAAGGCGACUUACUGGUCUUUUACUGACGCUGAGGCACGAAAGCGUGGGGAGCAAACAGGAUUAGAUACCCUGGUAGUC
rnacentral:rRNA from 1 species